CACAUCAUCUGGGUACCGUAGUACCAGGUAUCUGGUCCCCGCAGGGCUGUUCCAGAACCUUCCUGGAGGGCUAAUGAAUCCCUACUAUGUCCAUUCAGCACAUACGCAAUGUACAAGGAGCCAUGCCAAGUACAAGGAUAAUGCAAUGCAACACAUUUGUGUACACUAAUGCAACUAUAACAGCCCGGAAACCGAACUGUUACCGGCACUAGGAUCCAGAUCGACUUAAGGUCGCCGGGACCCGUAGUAAGCCUACUAUACUGUCUGUGUACCUGUGAAAUCCCAUACAUGAUCAUACAUUUUCUGUAAAAAUUUGAAACUAUUCUCUGCUCCAAGGCUCAACCUGUGCAUACACUAUCUCUGUACUAUAAAACCCCUACUAGAGUUCUCAUACAUCUCUAGGCGGGUCAACUCAUAAAAAAAUGUUAAGCUUGGUUUUCAAAUCUCAUAGAAAAAAACAUUUAAACAAACUGACCAUGUAUAAAUAAAAGGGAUUACAACUAAUAAGUCAAGCACAACUCUAUACACUGUACAAUAUUAACUAUCUCUUUAUAUUUACAUGUCCACACUACACUAUUACAAUCUUAAACUCUUCUUGUAUCCAGGUGGUCUCUCUCUGGACUCUGAACCAGCAAAACUGUGGUGGUGGAGGGGGUGAGCUAUACUAGCCCAGUGAGUAGAACAUAAUAAACAUGUCAAUAAAACAUGAUCUCAUGAAAUGCAUCAUCCACAGGUAAAUCACAUCAUCUCAGAAUGGCCGGAUCAGAAAUCCCUCGAACUGAGUCUGGUCCCCUCAGGGCUAUUCCAGAACUCCACAUCAUCUGGGUACCGUAGUACCAGGUAUCUGGUCCCCGCAGGGCUGUUCCAGAACAUUCCUGGAGGGCUAAUGAAUCCCUACUAUGUCCAUUCAGCACAUACGCAAUGUACAAGGAGCCAUGCCAAGUACAAGGAUAAUGCAAUGC
rnacentral:lncRNA from 1 species